rnacentral:rRNA from 1 species
GACGGAGGGUGCUAGCGUUGUUCGGAAUUACUGGGCGUAAAGGGCGCGUAGGCGGCUUCGGCAGUCGGGUGUGAAAGCCCGGGGCUCAACCCCGGAACGGCACCCGAGACUCCGGGGCUCGAGACCGGGAGAGGAGGGUGGAAUACCCAGUGUAGAGGUGAAAUUCGUAGAUAUUGGGUGGAACACCGGUGGCGAAAGCGGCUCUCUGGCCCGGAUCUGACGCUGAGGCGCGAAAGCGUGGGGAGCAAACAGG